AAGGCGAAGCCGCGAGGUGGAGCGAACCCCAAAAAUAAACGUCUCAGUUCGGAUUGCAGGCUGCAACCCGCCUGCAUGAAGCCGGAAUCGCUAGUAAUCGCAGAUCAGAAUGCUGCGGUGAAUACGUUCCCGGGUCUUGUACACACCGCCCGUCACACCAUGGGAGUCGAUAACGCCCGAAGUCAGUGACCCAACCGAGAGGAGGGAGCUGCCGAAGGCGGGAUGGAUAACUGGGGUGAAGUCGUAACAAGGUACC
rnacentral:rRNA from 1 species